rnacentral:lncRNA from 1 species
UUAUUUUAAAAUUUUUUAAAUUUAUAAGAAUUUAUACAAAAGAAAAAAAAAGAUUUAAGCAUAAAAGUAUUAGAAGUAUAAAAGUUAUUUUAUUAUUUAAGUAAAAAAAAGCUAAUACAUAAACACAUUUUUGAAUUAUAUGAAGUCAUUAAAUAAACUGCGAAUCCAUAGGUUGCACCUGAGUAUCUGAAAAAAGAAUAGAAUAUUUUAAAAAAAAAUUGAGAUCCUUUUAAACAGUCUGUUAUAAUAAAGAAAAUCAUAUAUCUUAAAAUUAAUUCAUCAAGUUGAUGAUGAAAUACAUAGGCGUUCCAGUGGACGUUCUGCACUUGUUACACAAUAAUCCCUUACAGGCAGGUCAAGCAAGAGGGGCAGUGGGUAGGAGAAAUGGAGGUUUGGGCUCUACAAAAAUUUGGUAUUGCUCAUAUUUUUACAAGAAAUGCUUAAUUAUAAAUCUGAUCAUACUAGAGUUCGCUAAAAAGUAUUUGGUAUUAUGACCAUUAGGGAAACAAUACCUAGACCUGAUGAUAUUUUAGAAUCUUAAUUUAUAACUCUGAUUCAAAUAAAAUAUAUAUAUUUUGAUAAAUUCACAUUUUGAUAAUUAUGAUUCUAAUUUUAAUAAUAUAUUUUUACUUUAUGAUGAAACAUGCAACAUGAGUAUAUUUUUUAGUUCGUAGGACAUUAUGAUUAAAUAUAAAGUUAUUGAAAAAAAUUCAUUAUAAUAUGUAAUAACACGAAAUGGUUUGACCUCAUGAAUUAUUCUAGCGUAAUGAUUUGAUCAAUUUUAACUUUGCACAAAUUACUUUUAUUUUCAAAAUAAAAUAAACCCUUAUUACAAACUUCUAAAAUUACCUUCAAAUGAUAUCUAUUAUUUAUCAUUAUAUAUGUAUGUACAUUCAAGCAUAAAAAUUUACAAAAAGAAAAGAAAAGGAAAAAAAAAAAGAAGUCUUUACUAUGAAGCUUCAAAACAUGAAAGGAGUUGGAGCGAAUGCUGGAAUUAUUGUUGCUGAAUAUGUGUUUCGCCUGAAAAAUAAAUAAAUUCAUCACCAAAAAUGUCAAAUUCUAUAUAUUAUAUAAAAAUUAAAACAUAAAAUUCAUUUAUAAAUAUUUUUUAUUUCUGAAAUUUUUACCCUGCCAAAGCAGAGUAAGCAAAAGACUCCAUGGCCCAAUGGAUAAGGCGCUGGUCUACGGAACCAGAGAUUCUGGGUUCGAUCCCCAGUGGAGUCGAUACCAGUUUUUAAGUCAAUAACUUUUAAAUAUAUAUAUUUUUUAAAAUUAUUAAAAAUAUAUUUUAAUAUAUAUGCGUAUAUGAAUAUAAAACUGCCACGUAGACCUGCUUGCAUCACAAUAAUUCCCAGAAAUUUUUAUCGGAAAAAAACGUAAAAAGUUGAAGUUGUAACAGAUAUUCUGUUUCCAGACACUGACAUGUCAACC